AAACCCGUCCCUCUAAAUCCGU
rnacentral:siRNA from 1 species